rnacentral:rRNA from 1 species
CCUACGGGAGGCUGCAGUGAGGAAUAUUGGUCAAUGGACGAGAGUCUGAACCAGCCACGUCGCGUGAAGGAUGACUGCCCUAUGGGUUGUAAACUUCUUUUAUAUGGGAAUAAAAUGUUCCACGUGUGGGAUUUUGUAUGUACCAUAUGAAUAAGGAUCGGCUAACUCCGUGCAAGCAGCCGCGGUAAUACGGAGGAUCCGAGCGUUAUCCGGAUUUAUUGGGUUUAAAGGGAGCGUAGAUGGGUAGUUAAGUCAGUAGUGAAAGUUUGCGGCUCAACCGUAAAAUUGCAAUUGAUACUGGCAGUCUUGAGUGCAGUUGAGGUAGGCGGAAUUCGUGGUGUAGCGGUGAAAUGCGUAGAUAUCACGAAGAACUCCGAUUGCGAAGGCAGCUUACUAAACUGCCACUGACAUUGAUGCUCGAAAGUGUGGGGAUCAAACAGGAUUAGAUACCCUAGUAGUC